rnacentral:rRNA from 1 species
GAUGAACGCUGGCGGCGUGCCUAAUACAUGCAAGUAGAACGCGGAAGCUUGGUGCUUGCACCGAGCGGAUGAGUUGCGAACGGGUGAGUAACGCGUAGGUAACCUGCCUCUUAGCGGGGGAUAACUAUUGGAAACGAUAGCUAAUACCGCAUAAAAGUUGAUAUCGCAUGAUAUUGAUUUGAAAGGUGCAAAUGCAUCACUAAGAGAUGGACCUGCGUUGUAUUAGCUAGUUGGUGAGGUAACGGCUCACCAAGGCGACGAUACAUAGCCGACCUGAGAGGGUGAUCGGCCACACUGGGACUGAGACACGGCCCAGACUCCUACGGGAGGCAGCAGUAGGGAAUCUUCGGCAAUGGGGGCAACCCUGACCGAGCAACGCCGCGUGAGUGAAGAAGGUUUUCGGAUCGUAAAGCUCUGUUGUAAGAGAAGAACGAGUGUGAGAGUGGAAAGUUCACACUGUGACGGUAGCUUACCAGAAAGGGACGGCUAACUACGUG